CAGUUAGUCUCUCUUCCUGUCACACACUACGUCACUAAUUGGGGAAUGGAAUACGAUUGAUUAGGCUACCUGACGUAUUACCCACAGGCUAUGUAUAGACACCUGGGGUCCUAAAGCCGGUAGCUUGUUGUCAACACCACUGGUUCUAGGGCUGUGUAGCAGAGUCACGGGUGCUGCGUGAAAGCAACAGGUAUGUCUGAGCAAAGGUUUAUUUAAGUUCUUCCGUCACUGAUGAAUAGCUUGCUAAGUGGCUACUUGUUUUAACAAUUGUAUAGGAGGGCGAGCCGCUGUAUGUUGAUGUGCAUGUGGGAGAAUGACGCCGUGUUGUUGUGCGUAACAAGUGUCUGCUGGGCACUGUUACCGUAGCAGUGAGGGGAGUUGUUCUCAGGAAGCCAUCAGCUACAGUGUUCGUAGCCUUGUUGAAAAGGUAUGUUAUGCCUGAUCUGUGUACUGUGUGGCAUACCAGCAGGCCAUAGCGGCCAUUCAUUUUGUACGGGUAAUAAUGUAGGCUGGCUAACACUGCCAUGUCUUGAUGUUUUUAAUUAGUGUUCUGCCAUUGCCUUUUCCAUGUGUACUGCUUUUAAGGCUGUGGGAUUAGCAAAGUUGAUUACUGUUGUGAUUGCUAUUUUGCACAAUGGUAAAGUACCAGUAACCAUCUUACCAGUGUUUGUUUUAUAUACUUGCAGUGAUAGACCCUCGCAGCUACACAGGGAUGCUAGUUGCUGUUCUCUUUUAAUGUGUGUUUGAUGCAUUGGUGCCGCUUAUAGUUUGUUUACUUUUCUUUUUUUGUUCCUCUAGCCUAUCGGCCUAAGUAGCUUGUGUAGGUACCACCUAUUUAAUGUGAGCCGCAGGCUAGAGUGGAUUUAUUUUGUUUGUUAUUUUUCUUGUUUACUGUACUUCCAGUUUGUGUGUCUCCCUCCCCCCUCCACAGCUAAUAGCCUCGGUGCUUAUGUGACAGUGGCGAGGUAAUUUGCUAGGAUAGUUUUAAUUGUCGACUACGCCACCUAGGUAGUCACCCUAGGACAGAUAUAGACUCAGUGUUCCUUUAGUUCUAACAAGGCAAACACAAGUUCGUACCACUCUUAGGCCAGAGACAUGGGUUCCAUAAAUACAGUUU
ensembl:lncRNA